rnacentral:misc_RNA from 1 species
UGGACUAGACAACAGUGGAUCGUCCUAUUUCUAGGACGAUCCACUGUUGUCUAGUCCAGGUAAGGUUCUUCGCGUUGCGUCGAAUUGAACCACAUGCUCCACCGCUUGUGCGGGCCCCCGUCAAUUCCUUUGAGUUUUAAUCUUGCGACCGUACUCCCCAGGCGGGGCACUUAAUGCGUUAGCUGCGGCACCCAGGGGGUCAAUACCCCGGACACCUAGUGCCCAUCGUUUACAGCGUGGACUAC